AAACACACACAGGAAGUGUUAUGCAAGUGAGCACAGAGACGCACAGGCUCCUGCAGGAGGCCCCAUCUGAUGCUACAGGUCCCUGCCUCAGGAGCCCUCCAGUACUACAGCUGUGGCCACAGCUUGGCCAGAUGACAGACAGUACUGGUCAAACUUCAGGAUUGCACAAACCACCAGCCUGGAGUGACCUUGCCUUGUGGGAAAGCACAGAGGAGCCCAGGCUCCCACGCAGACGCAAACACAGAACACUCCAGCUCUAAUCUCCUGCUCACUUCUGCUGAGUCUGCACUGGUUUGGGACUAGAUGGAUGAAUCCCUGAACUCUUUCUACAUUACUCCAUGUCUGACCACAGCGGACCACCAUGUGCUGUGCAGGUGGCAAUGCCUGGCCUAGUUUCUGUCAUCAUUCGAAAGGGUCAGAUGCCUUCCACUGGCUUUUGAUAAUUCACACAGACUCAGGAAACAGGAAGAGAACUGAGCUCUGGUACUGCGGCUCCCCUCCUCUUCCACCUGGGUUACAUGUUUCUUGUUCAUGCAGAGAAGCUUCCAGAGUGGUCAAGAUGGUGAUGGGUGAUGGAUAUGGGUUCGGACAUCAGCAAAGCUGGAGUGGUAUUGGAUGGGAUGGCUUCAGAGUCACCAGGCUGAUCUCUGAGCAAAGUUCAGCAUCAAAGCGUGAUCUUUGACAAUUCGGGCUGACGCUCCACAGAUAGUACACAGGGCACAGCUUGUGAAACGACUCCAGCCAGCAUGUUCCUGCUAAGUCAGCCAAGAAACUACAUGAAAAAGAAACAGCCCAAGGCCAGCACCCAGCUGCUGUGAGGGCAGGAGAAGCAAGGUACCAUUCUGGGCAUACAAGAGGCAAUAAGCUUGAGUCACUCAGAUGCAGACUGUGUGAGCCAGGCAUGCUUUGAUGGCACACCAGGUCACAAACAGUCCUCUUAGGGCCACGUGGGCCCUGUUUGUGUAUCCUCUCCUUAGGUCUCUCAGCGCUCCCUCUUCCAUCAAGUAAAAGAGGAUGAUAAACCUGAAUCAUGAUUAUCUUGACUAGAGAUAGUGGAUAGCAGCUACCUGAAGGGGACCCUAGACCAGGGCAGAUAUGACCAUGAUGACCUCAAACCACAAGAGCACUAACAGAGCCAGACCCAGCUCUCCUCACCUUCACAUAAAGAGGGGGAAACAGAUUCAAGACUUCUUUUUCUACCUGAAGCCUGGUUAGGCUUGGAGUUUAGCAUUGCCACAGCAUCCUCUUAGGGCAAUACUCAUUGGAGAAAGAUUAUUAUUCCCUGGUUAGCACAGUAUUCAAGGUGUAGGAUUGAGUAGACACACACACGCACGCACACACACAGAGAGAGAGAGAGAGAGAGAGAGAGAGAGAGAGAGAAAUCGCACAGAGAGAGACAGAUCAUACACACAGAGACACACAAACCACACAGAAAGGCACACGUACACUGCACAUGCACACACUCAUAGACACACAUACAGAAAUAUACACAGAAAGAGACACACAGAGAUACCCACACAUAGACAAACACACAGAGAGAUACACACAGAGACAGACACACACACACACACACACACACACAUACAGAUACAGACAUAUACAGACUCAGAAAGAAAUAACCACACACAGACACACAGAGAGGCAGACAUACAUAAAUACACAGAUACACACUGAAAGACACAGAGAUACCCACACACAGAGAAAAACACACAAAAAUACACACAGAGAUAUACACACAGACACAUACAUAGACACAGAGAGAUAUACAUGCAGAAAUAUACACACAGAAACAUACACACAGAGUCUGAGAAAGAGAGAGAGAGAGAGAGAGAGAGAGAGACCUACACACAGACACACACAGAGAUACUCACACAGAGAGACAUACACCAUGAAAAUGAUACAUUCAGAGAGACUGAGACAUAGACAAACAGAGAUACAAAGAGAGACAGAGAGAGAGGCCAGUUUCUGGCAUCUACUUUCUAAUUAAAUGUAACAAACCAGUGGCUAAUCCAUGCAGUCACUAACACAGACAAUGUAGGUGGAGCUGUCCUGGUGGGGGGGGGGGUGUAAGGCCUUGGACUUCAAGGCUCUUCUUGGUUGGCAGCCUCUCCACUCCUAGGACAGCUACAGGUCCUUACCAAAAUGUCAAGUCUGGGUCAUCUACCCAUUCACAUUGACUCAACAGUCAAAAACUUCCUUUCUAUUGUGUGAGACUCAGACACGCUAUGGUUGAAUGUAGUCCAAAAGGUCAAGGGCUGGAAAAUUAACCUCCAGUUUCAUAGGCUCACGGAACGGAGGUGGGGACUCCGGGAGGCUGUUAGGGCAGAUGACGUCAUGAAAGUAGAGAUCCCAGGAUGGCAUGCGUGGCUCUUAAAGAAGAGGAAGAGAGACCCAGACUAGCACAUUUGUUCUGUCUCACCGUGCGCUAAGGCCUCUUGUGGCUCUUCUAGAGAACCCUAGUUCUGGUCCCAACACUCGUGCCAGGUGACUCGGAGUGCCUCUAACUCCUGCUUUAGAGAAUCUGACUCCUUUUGUUGGCUUCCAAGGGUACCUGAACAUGUGUCACACACACAUACACACACACACACACACACACACACACACAAACACACACACAAACACACACACGCACACGCACCCACUCUUACACAGACACAUAAAAACUAAUAAAAGAAACUUUUAAAAGUAUUUUUACUUAUUUUAAACAUUACUUAUUUAUUUUUAAACAAAACGUUGCAAGUAAAAUAACAAUGCAAAUUAGUCAAACCCAAAGACUGCACAACUUAAUAAGCUUCUAUACAGUUAGAGCAUGUUUAUAUAUUUUAAUAAUUUAUUUACCUUUAUUUUAUGUGCGUUGGUGCGAGGGUGUAAGAUCCCUGGAACUAAAGUUACAGAUAGUUGUGAACUGUCACCUGGGUGUGGGGAAUUGAACUUAAAUCCUUUAAAAUCCGGAUGCCUCUGAAAGCUGAAACUCUCUUUUUGGCUGUUAUUAAUUAAGGUGACAUGGCUGUGACAAUUACUCACUGAAACUUAAGGGAGGGAAGAUGGAUUUGUGCUUGUAGUUUCAGCCCGUCAUGGCAGCAGCAGUGAGAACACGCCAUGGAGUCUUUUCACAUCACGGCAGACCAGAAAGUAAAGAGACGGGAGCAAGGGGGGAGGGCUGAGCACGGCCUCCAAACGCCUGCUUGUGGAUGUGUGCGUGGACACUGAAACACAUCUGAGAGGGGGCUGCCUCAGGAGGAAGCCUUGAACUCGCUAUUGCCUGCAGAGGGAGAGAAGGGACUGCAAUGAACACAGAAGAAAACUGGAGUUGAGAGCGCACUUCUCAUAUACGAUGGAAUGCUCAGGCCACAUGUAAAACACACUGUGACCUCGAAGCAAAAGGUUAAUGACUGUUUCGCUCCCAUCACAAUGGGGGAGGACCUGAGCCUGGUGGAACAGGCCUUGAUCUCAGCACUUGAGAGGUGGAGGAGGCAAAAGCAUCGGGAGUUCAGGGUCAGCCUCAGCUCUGAGUUGAAGGCUAGCCUGGGCUAAUUGACCUUGUGAAAAGAGAGAGGCAGAGGAGGGGACAGAGACAAGGAGACAAAGAGUGACGGAGAAACAGAGUCAGAAGGCAGAAAAAGAAAGGGAGAAAGGGAGGGAAGGAGUGAGAAAAAGAAAGAAAGGAAGAUUAAACACAGUAUCAGUGUCAAGAGUCCCUGCAAGUUGGACCCUCCAUGUACCAUUAAUGGGAAUCUAGAUGGUGCAGACCCUGUGCAAAACAGUAUGGAGUGUCUUCAAAAAGUUCAAUGGAGAGAGAUGGCUCAGCAGUAAAGAGCAGCUGCUCCUGCAGGGGACCAGAGUUCAAUUCCCGGCACCUACUUGGUGGCUCACAACUGUCUCUAUCUCCAGUUCUAAGCAAUCCCACCCCAUCUCAUGACCACUGUGGGCAUGUGGUGCAUAGAUAUGUAUGCAGCCAAGACAUCCACAUACAUAAAAAGUAAAAAAUAAAUGAAAUGAAAAAGGACCGCAUGACCCAUUAAUUCUACUUUUGGGUGUAUAUCUGAAGGAAUUAAAAACAGGGAUACAAAGAGAGACGACUCGUCCAUGGUCAAAGAAGUAGCCUAAAAGUGCUUAUCACCAAAUACUCAGGUUUUGGAACCAAAUGGCUCCAGGGCAGAGGCUUCCUUUGCAGGACAGCAGCCACGGUCAGGGGCCUGUGAAUGGCCAGUGGGUCCAAACUGCUGUCAGUGAGGACUGUGAACACUGGGGCACAGAUGCAGAGCCCAAGACUCCCAGAAUCAGGCUGCUGGUAUCAGGAGUGCUGUCCAAAGGACCAUGAGCCCAGGCUGUCACAGUGCCAGCCUCCUCGAUGACUCAUAAGGGGUCAUAAUGAGAUGUUUGAGAUAGACCCCCUGUGUCUCUCAUGAGGAUCCCAAGCAGUGAAUGAGAGGCAAAUCUUCACCCUUAGGUUUUACCAUUUGGGUUUUUUUUCCCUCACUUUUUUUUUUAAGUCAAAAGAAGUGCUUUUCUUGUUCAGCUAAUUUGGACCGAUUUUAUGGUUUCCGCAAUUGAUUUAAGGUUUCUCCUUUCCAAUAAAAGGUGGCCCAAGAUGGUCUUCUAGUGCCAAGAGCUCCUGCCCAACAAGGAGGCAGAGGCACAAGUAUCUGUAAAAUUCCAACCCUAAAAAAAACCUACUCACUGCUCACACAUCCUCCAGGGCUCCUGUGAGCUCCAGCUUCCUCACGUGUACCCACAGCCCGGUUAAAAAGACAGGCCCAGCCUUGUUCAGCAAAGGGAUGAAUCACAGGGACAGUGACCAACAUGUUAGAAGAAACAAAGACCCUGUGGGAGUGGGAGAUAGCCCAAUAAAUGUAGAGUUUCCGAUGCCUGCCUUUAGGCUGGGAAAGGGAACUUCAUUUGUUCCCAGAUUCAAAGCGGUCUAUUCAACCACAGAGGGGCAAGGAAGAUCAGGGGAAAGAGACACCUGGCUUCCCUUUUGCCUUAGCUUCUCUGUUCAUCCAUCCUCACAGGCUCUAGGCUAAACCAGCCAGAAUUCGGAGGUAAUGAACCCUGGGGGAUAUAAUUUGCAAUAGGCAAAUACCAGCUACGCAGAGUCCUCAGGUAUGCAGACAAAGAGUCCCACAGCCCAUUGUGUGCAGGUGCUGUGGUGGGCCUGUAAUUGGCCUGGGUAGGAAUGAAGAUAUCCUAAGAAGAUAUCCCAGUCCAGUCUCUCAAUCUCAACAUCAGAAUGCUAAAACAAUAGGCCCUAAAGAUGUGGGAAUUACCCAAGGAUUCUCGUGAUGGGCAAAGUAAAGGGGGAGAUGGUCUGAGAAAGAGAUUCCACACAGUUCUAACAACUUGUGAAACCACCUUCCAGGAUGAGACUGAAGCCCAGGGACAGGUCAGUGGUGGGCAGGAUCACACCUUGGCCAGCACCUCUUUGGCCCUCUAUUUAUGCUUUGACCUCAGUUCAGGCCCCUGAAGACAGACUUAGGGAUGCUCACUGCAUUUCUUCUUUCCUCUUCCCAGUGUGGCCAUAUUGGAUAACGUCUUUCUUCUGCUUUCCAUGAUUAAUUUGGCUUUUUUAAUUGGCUUAGACUUCUUGAGAAUGAGUGGCCAGACCUAACUUGGGUGGAGGUGGUAAUCCCCCAAGUCCCAUAACAGCCCCAGCUCGGGGAGGCAUCUCUGUGCUUUUUCAUCUGUCCUGGUAUUUUUGUUUUACAUGACUGAGUCACAGACACAGGACUCCUGGAAUUUAAGCCUAAUGUUCUGAUUAUCCCAGGAAGCUUGUAUGUGUCUGGCUAUCUACCUGUGAACUUCCAAUGUAGUUUACACCUCUGGCUCCCUUUAUUGGGCUGAUCUCCCACAUGAAGACUCUCUGCUCUGCAAAUGUGGGCCCACUAGACAAGUACAUGAGAUACUGUUGUGUGGUAGACUUUUUCUGGGGAGACACAAACAUCUACUCACCCUAGAUGGAGAUCAGACAAUGGGCCAAAGUGUGGAGACCAUCAAAGUCCAACUUAGGGAACCAAUGAGUUUUAUUGGGGUUAUUUAUAGAAAUACAGUUAAGGGUUUACAUACUGGAGUGGAAGUGACUCAACGACAGCUUUGACACGAAAGCCCACCCCCAGCAUAGGUCACAUCUCACAAAAGCUGGAGAUCUAGAGCACACUGCACAGCCUACAGGCAGCUCAGAAGGCUGGAGAAUUGCACUUCCAGAUGAUUCAUUUGAUCUGAGACUCCUCCAGGCAGUUCAGCUGGUCUCUGCUUCUCCCAGGCUGCUUGGUGGCUCUUUGCAGCUUGGCUUGUUGGAGAGUGACUCUCAGCAGUCCUUACUGCUUACUUACUAUUGAGGAGGGAGGAGCCUUGUGACUCUACCAGUUUCAGGGACUUCCUGAAGCUAUUUUGAGUUGUUUACUUCCGGUCCUCAAGAGGUCCCUGUAGUAUUUCACCUCCCUGUAAACAUCCAAUCCUUCCAAGAUUGAAGGUUUUAAUAGAGGAGGAAAGUGCU